ensembl:lncRNA
GCACAAACUAUUAUCAACUUAUGAUAGCUUUAAUUCUCUGACCUCAAGCCACUUUAGGGCCAAGGUGACAAAAAUCCAUCUUUCAUGGCUCAAAAUUUCCACUUGCCUUUUAGAGAUUUCCUGAAUGAAAUGACUGUCAUGAAUAUAAACCAAGUUGUGAUGACUUUCUUUAAUUUUUAAGUCUGUGCAUCUAAAGCAGCCUGUGACCUUUAGUUUCAAUUUUACCACAUGUUCGCAGAGUAAAUUGACAGGAGCGAGAGUCUUUUAAUUUCAUGGCUGCAGUCACCAUCUGCAGUGAUUUUGGAGCCCCCAAAAAUAAAGCCUGUCACUGUUUCCGUUGUUUCCCCAUCUAUUUGCCAUGAAGUGGGGACCAGAUGCCAUGAUCUUAGUUUUCUGAAUGUUGAGUUUUAUGACCAACUAGACAGCAGAAGGAAAUGGCAACCCACUCCAGUGUUCUUGCCUGGAGAAUCCCAGGGAUGGGGGAGCCUGGUGGGCUGCCAUCUAUGGGGUCGCACAGAGUCGGACAUGACUGAAGCGACUUAGCAGUAGCAGCAGCAGACAGCAUAUUAAAAAGCAGAGACAUUACUUUGCCAACAAAGGUCCAUUUAGUCAAAGCUGUGGUUUUUCCAGUAGUCAUGUAUGGAUGUGAGAGUUGGACUAUAAAGAAAGCUGAGCACCAAAGAAUUGAUACUUUUGAACUGUGGUAUUGGAGAAGACUCUUGAGCGUCCCUUGGACAGCAAGGAGAUCCAACCAGUCCAUCCUAAAGGAAAUCAGUCCUGAAUAUUCACUGGAAGGACUGUUGCUGAAGUUGAAACUCCAAUACUUUGGGCCACCUGAUGCGAAGAACUGACUCGUUGGAAAAGACCCUGAUGCUGUGAAGGAUUGAAGGCAGGAGGAGAAGGGGAUGACAGAGGAUGAGAUGGUUGGAUCGCAUCACCAACUCAAUGGACAUGAGUUAAGCUCCAGGAGUUGGUGAUGAACAGGGAGGCCUGGUGUGCUGCAGUCCAUAGGGUUGCAAGGAGUUG